rnacentral:miRNA from 1 species
AAGGUUCACGGACGGUAAAUUUUAAAUUUAAAUCUCGCGCCUAAUUGGAUAAAGCGGUACCACCUUGCGAGAUGUCACUUGAUUGAAUUACGCUUAUCCAAUUAGGCGCGAGAUUUAAAUUUAAAAUUUACCGUCCGUGAACCUU